GUAGUCGAUGGACAGCAGGUUGAGAUUCCUGCACCCGUAAUGAACAGAACUGUAGCGACACGGAAGGUAAGACAGAGCCGGGAAUGAGAAAACCGGUGCAAGCACAAUAGAUGUGCGGGAGGAAAAACCCCCGCAUAAGUCGAAGGUGUGAUGCGGACCGAAAAAGAGUAGGGAAGCUGUUAAGCAAGCCGUCAAGAAAAGCUGCUAUUGUUUCAUUAUGGCCCGUACCGUAAACCGACACAGGUGGAUGGGGAGAGAAUCCUAAGGCCGGCGGAAGAAGUAUUGUUAAGGAACUCGGCAAAAUGACCCCGUAACUUCGGGAGAAGGGGUGCCUGCGAGAGCAGGCCGCAGAGAAGAGGCCCAAGCAACUGUUUAGCAAAAACACAGGUCUAUGCAAAACCGAAAGGUGAGGUAUAUGGGCUGACGCCUGCCCGGUGCUGGAAGGUUAAGGGGAGUGGUCAGGAAACGAAGCCACGAACUUAAGCCCCAGUAAACGGCGGCCGUAACUAUAACGGUCCUAAGGUAGCGAAAUUCCUUGUCGGGUAAGUUCCGACCCGCACGAAAGGCGUAAUGAUUUGGGCGCUGUCUCGACAAUACAUCCGGUGAAAUUGAAGUGCCAGUGAAGAUGCUGGCUACCUGCGCCAGGACGGAAAGACCCCAUGGAGCUUUACUCCAGCUUGAUACUGGGACCCGGUAUUGCAUGUACAGGAUAGGUGGGAGGCUAGGAAAUGUGGACGCCAGUCUGCAUGGAGCCGCCGUUGGGAUACCACCCUUGUGGUGCUGGGUUUCUAACCAGAGGCCGUGAACCGGUCUGGGGACAAUGUCAGGUGGGGAGUUUGACUGGGGCGGUCGCCUCCGAAAGGGUAUCGGAGGCGCCCAAAGGUUCCCUCAGAAUGGUUGGAAACCAUUCGAAGAGUGCAAAGGCAGAAGGGAGCUUGACUGCGACACCGACGGGUGGAGCAGGUACGAAAGUAGGGCUUAGUGAUCCGGUGGAAUUUAAGUGGGAAUGCCAUCGCUCAACGGGUAAAAGCUACCCUGGGAUAACAGGCUGAUCACUCCCAAGAGUUCACAUCGACGGAGUGGUUUGGCACCUCGAUGUCGGCUCAUCGCAUCCUGGGGCUGAAGUCGGUCCCAAGGGUUGGGCUGUUCGCCCAUUAAAGCGGUACGCGAGCUGGGUUCAGAACGUCGUGAGACAGUUCGGUCCCUAUCCGGCGUGGGCGUAGGAUAUCUGAGAGGAGCUGUCCUUAGUACGAGAGGACCGGGAUGGACUGACCUCUGGUGUACCGGUUGGCGAUCAACGCCACGGCCGGGUAGCCAUGUCGGGACGGGAUAAACGCUGAAGGCAUCUAAGCGUGAAGCCCCCCUCAAGAUGAGAUAUCCCAUUCGAAAGAAGUAAGACCCCUUGAAGACGACGAGGUUGAUAGGGCAGGGGUGGAAGUGCUGUAAGGCAUGGAGCUGACUGCUACUAAUCGGUCGAGGGCUUGACU
rnacentral:rRNA from 1 species